GACGAACGCUGGCGGCGUGCUUAACACAUGCAAGUGGAGCGACGAACCGGGCUUCGGCCCGGGCGAAAGCCGCGAACGGGUGAGUAACACGUGGGUAACCUGCCCUGAAGACCGGGACAACCCGAGGAAACUCGGGCUAAUACCGGAUGUGUUCACUGUCCAUAAGGACGAUGAGAAAAGGAAGCUUCGGCCUCCGCUUCAGGAUGGGCCCGCGGCCCAUUAGCUUGUUGGUGAGGUAACGGCUCACCAAGGCUUCGAUGGGUAGCUGGUCUGAGAGGACGAUCAGCCACACUGGGACUGAGACACGGCCCAGACUCCUACGGGUGGCAG
rnacentral:rRNA from 1 species